AGGCCAGGGGAAACACUCCAUAAGCGAGUUUACAGAUCGCCGCCUAAUCAGCCACCUAACC
rnacentral:tRNA from 1 species